GACAUAGGUGGCAAACGUUUAUCCGGAAUUAUUGGGCGUAAAGAGUGCGUAGGUGGUUUAAUAAGUUAGUAGUGGUAAAUUGGGGCUCAACUCCAUGGAAGUUACUAAUACUAUUAAACUAGAGGAUCGGAGAGGUUAACGGAAUUCUAUGUGUAGCGGUAAAAUGCUCAAAUAUAUAGAGGAACACCAAUUGGCGAAGGCAGUUAACUAUUCGGUUCCGUGACGUUUGAGGCA
rnacentral:rRNA from 1 species